rnacentral:rRNA from 1 species
CAGCCGCCACGGGAACACGAAGGGGGCUAGCGUUGCUCGGAAUGACUGGGCGUAAAGGGCGCGUAGGCGGAUUGCGCAGUCAGAUGUGAAAUUCCUGGGCUUAACCUGGGGGCUGCAUUUGAGACGCGUAGUCUAGAGUGUGAAAGAGGGUCGUGGAAUUCCCAGUGUAGAGGUGAAAUUCGUAGAUAUUGGGAAGAACACCGGUGGCGAAGGCGGCGACCUGGUUCAUAACUGACGCUGAGGCGCGAAAGCGUGGGGAGCAAACAGGAUUAGAUACCCCCGUAGUCCCUGUCUCUUAUAC